GUGACAUUGGGGGCAGGGAUGGGCUGGAAGGAUACGGGCACUGCUCCGCCAAUGGUGGUCUUCAUUGCAGCAGUGGCCGGUGGGGGCACAAAGAUUCAAAUAAAAUGGCGUCGGGUGUCGGAAGCACCGUCAGCGAUGAAGGAAUUCUCUCUGUGGGGAAAUGCCCAAAUGGGCGCCGGGGUGAGAUGUGGGGCACUGGGAUCCCCUGGAGGGCCGCAGUGCCAGGAGCAGGAGGAGCCUGCUGCCUUACCUGCCGUGGCAGCUCGAGAGUGGCAGUGGGGGGUUCCGUGAGCGCUGGGGUCAGCCCCUCUGCCCUGAGCUCACAGUGCCCCUCUGUGACGCUGUCCCGUGGUGUCACAGGCACUGCUCUGUGCCUGCCAUGUCAUCAACUUGCUGUGGCUGUAAUCAUGCUGGUGACAGCAUGGGACGAGUGUGGGGAGCUAUGGCCUCUGCCCGCCUCAUACUCUUCCUCCUGAUGGCCACAACUUGCUAUAAGUUCGCUGCUGCUCCGUGGCGAGCACCAGGAGCAGGUGGGUGAGCAAAACGGAGUGGCACGGGGGGCACGAAGUCACUGCAAGGACAGAGCCUUUGGGGCUCCCCCUCCCGUUCUCUUUUCUUCCGCUCUCCAUCCCCUUUCCGUAGUCUGUCUGGAUGGACUUCAGCAAAAAGAGUGCUCGGUUCAAUAGUUGGUUGGUCUGAAACGUGUCCUGCUACGUUCUGUUCAGGUCCUGCGAGACAGGGAAAGCGGGACGAGGAAGAGAUUUGCUGCAGUUUUCUCAUGUUCUCAAGGCAAUGACAGGGGACAACGAAGUGCCUGGUGGGUAUAUUACUGUCUGUGCACCAGAAGACUUGGGAAACUGACGUUCCGUGUAGAGAUGCAGAAAAUUCUGAUGUCUUUGGAGAAGUAAAGCCUCUUGAGGAUGUCAUCCUCGUGGCAAGAGCAGAUCUUUACAGUCCCACUCUGCUACCUUCUUUCUCAAGAGAUCAAUGGAGAGCCUGUGGACGGGGCUGUGUUUGAGGAGGACAGCAGCUGCACACUGCCCAUCUCCCGUGAAGGCACAGAGGACGUGCAAGCAGCUGGUGCUCCAGGCGCCUCACUGAAGCUGUCAAAACCCGGUAUGCUGCCUGCAAAUGCUCAUCACAUGCAGACACACAGCCCGAAACAAAGCAGCAGACAGACAGAAUUGGCACCAGCGGCCUCUACAUGUGCCAGCGCAUCCAGGGGGGUCGGCAUGGGCAGCUCUGGUGGUGUUCUGGGGGACAGCAGGAAAGGCCCGCAGGGCAGCAACUCUGAGAACUGCCCAGAGCAUGCUGGCUGCCUCCACAACAGGUCACUGCUUUCCCACAGCCACCCGGUGCGGACAGCCUGCCGCCCGCUGCGCAGCCCCCAAACUCACCUCCUGAUUCCAGCGCUGCGCUGCUGCAGCCGAGCGGAGCCGUGGCGGGAUGGGGGCACACGUUGGUGGGCGCUGGGUGCCGCUGCUCCUGGGUGUGCGCCACGGCAUCUGCAAAGGGCCCCGUCGCCUGCUCCCAGCUGGCGGGCAGGGUGCAGGGCCCGGGGAGCACCCGCAGCUGCACUGGAGGUGCUCGGAGGACUGUGGAGGGGCCGGGGCCGGGGCGGCCGGGGGCCUGCAGCGGGCAGCUGCCUGCGGGCUGCGGGGGCUUCCCACGGCACACGGCCCCGGGCCGCAGCCCCAUCGGCUGCUGGCGCUGCCGCUGCCACUUCCCUGCCAGCCGGGGAUGUUGCCAGCAGUGGGCAGGGGCAUUGGGGGGAGGCAUACCCGGCUUCAUCCCGCCGGGUAGGAGCUGGAGGAGGGGUAACUGCCUCUCCCCGGGUGGCAGAUGACCCACAAUUGUGUACAGCCCCUCAGGUGUGAGCUGAACCACAAUUGGGGGCACCUCCUGAGGUGGGAUCAGACCCACAGUUUCGGGCAUUGCCCCAGCUGGCAGCUGAACCACAGUUAGAGGCAUACCCCCAAGUGGCAGCUGCGCUCCCUGUCCCUGCACACCCGGUACCCCCGGCUGGACAGAGGCCUGAGGCACCAUGGAGGUGACAUUGGGGGCAGGGACGGACUGGAAGGAUACGGGCACUGCUCCGCCAAUGGUGGUCUGCAUCGCAGCAGUGGCCGGUGGGGGCACAAAGAUCCAAAUAAAGUUGCGUCGGGUGUCGGAAGCACCGUCAGCGAUGAAGGGAUUCUCUCUGUGGGGAAAUUCCCAAAUGGGCGCCGGGGUGAGAUGUGGGGCACUGGGACCCCCUGGAGGGCUGCAGUGCCAGGAGCAGGAGGAGCCUGCUGCCUUACCUGCCGUGGCAGCUCGAGAGUGGCAGUGGGGGAUUCCGUGAGCGCUGGACAUCCUCCCUGGCUGCCCCUCACGUUGCCUCCCAUGCAUGGGGGGGCUGCAUGAUGCCCUGCAGCCCCAUUGCCCCCAGGUAACACCAGCACUCCCCCCCCACCUUUAUGGCCUGGGAGCUGCCCCCUGGAGAACGAGCACAGCCUCUGCCUCCCAGUGAGUGCUCAGCAGGCCUGGCUGCUCCUGGGCACCUCCACUGCUUCCUCUGCACUCUUCUUCAGGGGAUUGCAAUGGCAGGGGGUUACCGUCCCACACCCGGACAACCCGUGCUGGAAUGUGCUGUGGCUUCCUGAAUUCUGUUGUAGUAAUAAAUAAGAACUGGUAGCCGA
rnacentral:lncRNA from 1 species